UACGUAGGGUGCGAGCGUUGUCCGGAAUUAUUGGGCGUAAAGAGCUCGUAGGCGGUUUGUUGCGUCGGCUGUGAAAUCCCGAGGCUCAACCUCGGGUCUGCAGUCGAUACGAGCAAACUAGAGUGUUGCAGGGGAGACUGGAAUUCCUGGUGUAGCGGUGAAAUGCGCAGAUAUCAGGAGGAACACCGGUGGCGAAGGCGGGUCUCUGGGCAACAACUGACGCUGGAGGAGCG
rnacentral:rRNA from 1 species